GACGAACGCUGGCGGCGUGCUUAACACAUGCAAGUCGAACGAUGAAGCCCUUCGGGGUGGAUUAGUGGCGAACGGGUGAGUAACACGUGGGCAAUCUGCCCUUCACUCUGGGACAAGCCCUGGAAACGGGGUCUAAUACCGGAUAUGACCAUCUUGGGCAUCCUUGAUGGUGUAAAGCUCCGGCGGUGAAGGAUGAGCCCGCGGCCUAUCAGCUUGUUGGUGAGGUAAUGGCUCACCAAGGCGACGACGGGUAGCCGGCCUGAGAGGGCGACCGGCCACACGGGGACUGAGACACGGCCCAGACUCCUACGGGAGGCAGCAGUGGGGAAUAUUGCACAAUGGGCGAAAGCCUGAUGCAGCGACGCCGCGUGAGGGAUGACGGCCUUCGGGUUGUAAACCUCUUUCAGCAGGGAAGAAGCGCAAGUGACGGUACCUGCAGAAGAAGCGCCGGCUAACUACGUGCCAGCAGCCGCCGUAA
rnacentral:rRNA from 1 species